GUCUAGCCCAGAUAGCAGUGAAAAUCCUUUUGAUUUUUUCUUUAAAAAGCAAAAGAUUGAAACGCAUAGCUGGAAAUAGC
rnacentral:sRNA from 1 species